GUGCAGCAGGCGAGAAAACUUUACAAUGUGCGAAAGCACGAUAAGGGAACUCUGAGUGCCUCCUAAGGAGGCUGUUCAGGUUGUCUAAAAAGCACCUGAAGGAAGGGCCGGGUAAGACCGGUGCCAGCCGCCGCGGUAACACCGGCAGGCCCAAGUGGUAGCCACGUUUAUUGGGUCUAAAGCGUCCGUAGCCGGCUGGGUAAGUUCCUUGGGAAAUUUGGCUGCUUAACA
rnacentral:rRNA from 1 species